rnacentral:rRNA from 1 species
AUUGAACGCUGGCGGCAUGCUUUACACAUGCAAGUCGAACGGCAGCGCGGGCUUCGGCCUGGCGGCGAGUGGCGAACGGGUGAGUAAUGCAUCGGAACGUGCCCAGUAGUGGGGGAUAGCCCGGCGAAAGCCGGAUUAAUACCGCAUACGACCUGAGGGUGAAAGCGGGGGACCGAAAGGCCUCGCGCUAUUGGAGCGGCCGAUGUCGGAUUAGCUAGUUGGUGGGGUAAAGGCUUACCAAGGCGACGAUCCGUAGCUGGUCUGAGAGGACGACCAGCCACACUGGGACUGAGACACGGCCCAGACUCCUACGGGAGGCAGCCGUGGGGAAUUUUGGACAAUGGGGGCAACCCUGAUCCAGCCAUGCCGCGUGCGGGAAGAAGGCCUUCGGGUUGUAAACCGCUUUUGUUCGGGAAGAAAUCCUCUGGGCUAAUACCCCGGGGGGAUGACGGUACCGGAAGAAUAAGCACCGGCUAACUACGUG